UUUCUUUCCUUUUCCCAAAACAACAAUAAUGGUGAGAUCUCUCUCUUCUUCUCCCCUCUCCAUCUCUUCCCAUCUUCUUCAAAAUUGAAACCCUAGUUGCGUUGUGGCAGCCAUAGCAGCCACCCCUGUAAGAUUCCCCUCUUUUUGUAUCCAUACCAACCCAUGAAUCCCUUCAAGAUCUAAAAAUUAGACACAAAGCGGU
rnacentral:lncRNA from 1 species